rnacentral:misc_RNA from 1 species
GCGAAGUCAAGUCCGGAUCUGUAGGGAUUGCAGCUGGCCUAACGGCAUGUGCUCGUCCCUUGGGUUUGUGACCUUCACUACCACACCCCACUGUGAACCAAGCGGGAGGUCGAAAGGCCUCUUGCAUCUUAUACAAACCCCAAUCGCAUGUAUUAGAAUGUCAUAGCGUUAACUCGCAACUAUA